rnacentral:rRNA from 1 species
UACGGAGGAUGCAAGCGUUAUCCGGAUUCAUUGGGUUAAAGGGUGCGUAGGCGGACUAUUAAGUCAGUGGUGAAAGCCUGCAGCUUAACUGCAGAACUGCCAUUGAUACUGAUAGUCUUGAGUUUGGUUAAGGUAGGCGGAAUGUGUAAUGUAGCGGUGAAAUGCUUAGAUAUUACACAGAACACCAAUUGCGUAGGCAGCUUACUGAGCCGACACUGACGCUGAGGCACGAAAGCGUGGGGAUCGAACAGG